rnacentral:lncRNA from 1 species
AAGCUCCAAAACUUAUUAAAGUAACCAAUCAAAUAAACCUCUAAAGUCUAUUACAUAUUAUCCCCAAAAUCUGAAAGUCAUCACAUCAAGGACAUCUAAUCUCUAAAUACUAAGUCUAAGAGUAUCAAAGACACCGAAAUAAAUGAAAUAAAGUAAUUUGUGUCCGAAAACUAUAGACAUCAAGUCAUGACCGAGAGAAUCCAACACAAGCUCGAAUAAAUAGCUCACCCUUAAACCUGAUAUGUUGAGGCUGGCUAGAGCUGAGGGUGAGUCAAAUUCGUUGGUACAUAACAACAAUAAUGCGGAAGCUCAAAACUUAUUAAAGUAACCAAUCAAAUAAACCUCUAAAUUCUAUUACAUAUUAUCCCCAAAAUCUGAAAGUCAUCACAUCAAGGACAUCUAAUCUCUAAAUACUAAGUCUAAGAGUAUCAAAGACACCGAAAUAAAUGAAAUAAAGUAAUUUGUGUCCGAAAACUAUGGACAUCAGGUCAUGACCGAGAGAAUCCAACACAAGCUCGAAUAAAUAGCUCACCCUUAAACCUGAUAUGUUGAGGCUGGCUAGAGCUGAG